GGCGAACGGGUGAGUAACACGUGAGUAACCUGCCCUUAACUCUGGGAUAAGCCUGGGAAACUGGGUCUAAUACCGGAUAGGAGCGCCUACCGCAUGGUGGGUGUUGGAAAGAUUUAUCGGUUUUGGAUGGACUCGCGGCCUAUCAGCUUGUUGGUGAGGUAAUGGCUCACCAAGGCGACGACGGGUAGCCGGCCUGAGAGGGUGACCGGCCACACUGGGACUGAGACACGGCCCAGACUCCUACGGGAGGCAGCAGUGGGGAAUAUUGCACAAUGGGCGCAAGCCUGAUGCAGCGACGCCGCGUGAGGGAUGACGGCCUUCGGGUUGUAAACCUCUUUCAGUAGGGAAGAAGCGAAAGUGACGGUACCUGCAGAAGAAGCACCGGCUAACUACGUGCCAGCAGCCGCGGUAAUACGUAGGGUGCGAGCGUUAUCCGGAAUUAUUGGGCGUAAAGAGCUCGUAGGCGGUUUGUCGCGUCUGUCGUGAAAGUCCGGGGCUUAACCCCG
rnacentral:rRNA from 1 species